AAAGAAAGAAAGAGAAAAAGAAAUUACGUCAACAACAGAGCUAAGGGUGGCCUGAUUGUGUAUAGAAACCACUUCCUGAUAAUACUCAAGAAGCCCUUUGUAUCAGAUCACUUGGAGUAAACUCUUAAACACACAUUCAGUUUCCAAUUGCCCUCUUUUGUCUCAUGGGUGACUUUUAUUACAAAAAAUAAUAUCAUGGAGCCUAAGCUCCCCUCUAUAGUCAUUUUUAACUCAAUAUAGUGUGCUGUCUUGUUAUAAUUUGUUUCAGUUUCAGCACCAGACAAAUUGAGCCCCUCCUUAGAAAUUACAGUUUUGUGUUUUCUAUUUCCUCUGUUAUGCUACUCCACUGUCACUGACCUCCAGGUGUUGCAAACUAAGUGCUUCCUAGGUCCAGGCAGGAAAUGUAAAGGAAGAAAAAUAGGUGCAAUAGGCCAUGUGGAAACUAACCUCUUGCACAGACAGGUUGCUCUUGGAGGAGAGAAAUCAAAGAUGGGAAAGUGCACUCCCUCCAUGCCCUGUAGGAAU